AGCCUGGUGCACAGGGAAGGGGGCUGCGCGCUCCCCGGGCUGCUGCAACGACACCCCAGCUGCCCCCAUGCUGCGGUGUGUGCAGCGGGGUGCAUGCUUCAUUGCUUCGUGCAUGUCGGAUGCAUAAUUCAUAAACUGCAGUAAUCCCCCCUUUCCCCCCCCCCCCCGGGUUUGCAUGGCUGCUAUUUCCGUGCUUAAUUGGAUGAACUAUUCACCCCACCCUUCGCAAGCCCCAGCUUGCUUCAUUUGCGGCAGCGAACUCCCUGUAGGCUAGGUGCAUGCUUUGUGCUUGGAUCCCCCGCCCCGCCCCGGUACUCUGGAAGCUGUGCAAAAUGGGGCGGCGAGGUAUUCACACUUCCUGCGCUCUCUGUAGUGACACUCUCCCCACUUCCUUAUUUGCAGGCUGCGCACGAGGUUGGGGCUUCUUGUACAGGAACAUGGGUGACAGAGGCUGCAGUUUCCCUCAAGCGGCAUUAAAAACUCCUCGGAUCUCGGAUUAGCAAGAAGAGGCCACUCCAGCCACGUGGUGAGCCGGGAGGGUUCAGGUGGUGACAAUAAGGGCAACGCAGGGCGCUACACAGCCGGUCUAAGCGAGGCAGAUGUGUCACAGCAGACGGGACCCGUAGCCCCAGCUGACCCAGAGAGGAUUAACUGGCCUGGCAAACCCAGUCUGGAAACCGGCACACCUAGAUGGAGCAUGGAGCCAGCCAGACUUUGACAAUAGACUGGGAUCUCCUGGCCUGGGGAAACACCCUCAGCAAACAGCAGAGGAACAUUGGAUCAAUACAGACAAGGUGUCACCUGUCCUUGGAGUCUCUCAGCCAAAAGUGCUUGGUAAACAUGUUAACGGAGUCUCACAACAUCCCCUUGGUAAGGUGAGUUGCAUUGGGCUGGCUGGGACUUCAUGCAACAGAGACAUUCCCUGAGCUGUGUGGUUAUUAAAGAUCCCAUGGUGCAUCGCAUCAUGGUAGCAGUUGAGCCAAGGCUCAGAUUUUGCAGUGUGUUGUCCACGGGCUGCCUCCUGGCAGGCACGCUCCACCCUAGAGGGGGUGCAUGUCGGUGGUGGGGGACGGGUGGUGUUACUCAGCUUGGCCACAGUCUUAAGGGCCUAAGCACCUUCUGCUCCCUGCAGUGAGCAGCACUGUACAGGAUUGGGCCCGUGGAGCCAGCCGGUUCCGUCACAUUUGUUCCCUUCCACCCAGGGCAGAGAGGCCAACUUUGGAGCACGGCAGAGGCACCUCAGCGCGGUGCACCUCACAGGCACCUCAGCGUGCUCUCCCCCACCCAAGCCAGAUAGAAGGCUGGGAAUUCCUAUCACAGGCUGUGGCACAGCCCUUGCCGACACCCCAGCUGGCACCUCCCAGACACGUUCCUGCUCAGGCCCGGAGGUUGGCUGCCAGGAGAGCAGACGGCAGAGCCCUCAGAGGAGGAGAGCUUUGCACCAGCAAAGGGUGUGAGCAACUGGUGAGUAUGACACAGCAGGCUGGAGGGGCUUCUGAGUCUAGCCUCCCUGCAGGCUGGGAUCCCUCGCCUGCCCUGGAACGAGGACACAGCCCCGUCCCACAGGAGGGAAGGAGCUUGAAGCUGUAAAACGGCACCUGUGCUGAUGGGGUUUGGGGAAUGACGAUGGCCCUUGGCCCUUCUCCAGCACCAUCCUUCCACGGCUCUCAGAGCGUCGCACCAACAAGAAUGAAUCAGCCCCAGGGCUGGGUCAUAGCGAUGGCCCCAUUUGACACGGGGCCUCCUGAGCCCGGAGAGGGGAUGUGACUUACAUGAGGUCACCCCACGAGUCAGUAGCGGAGCCAGGAACAGAACCCAGGAGUCCAGACGCCCAUGGCUUAAAAUGGUCCAAAAAAAGUCGGGGGGGGAGGGGAAAGAAUCAUUGUCUACAGCAAGGGAAGUGACAUUGCAUCUGCCUACCCCGCAUCAGUUCUGUGCCCCUCCCACCUCAGCUCCUCGGGCAGCUGCUGGGAUUCCUUGCCCCCCAGCCCUUCCCAGGUGGGUGCUGCAGGGAGAGGAGCCACCCGGUCCCCAUUGCUCCCAGGAAGGGAGCAGGGAGCCAACUCACCCUGCGCUGAUGGGCUCUUUACCUCCCUCCUCUCCUGUGAGAACAGUGGGGGCUCACGAUCGUACCGCCUGCCUCUGAUUGGCUGCUCUAUCCCAGGGGGUGGGGCAGUCAGGAAGGCAGCCAAUCAGAGGGGGUUUUCCCGCAGGCUCAGCUGACGCGUGCACCCCUCAGUGACUCAGCUCCAGUUGUAAAAACGUUAUUUCCCAUGGUCCUUGUGAGCUGGUGCCCUCGAAGCCCUGCCAGUGCCCCCGUCCUGUACGAGCCACACGACCGCCCACCCUGCGGUAACCAAAGCACCCUAACACACCCAGCCGAGGCUGCAAGGCCCCCUCAGCCCUUGGGCUCCAAAGGAAGAGCUGGCAUGUCUAAGUGCCGUUAUUUGCAGUUAUUGGGCAUCUCUGACUUAAGCUAUUUACCUGGGCCAGGCUUUUCAAAGAGGAGGCCCUAAGUGAUGCCCACAGGAGCUGCCGGCUCACCCAAAAUCCUGGCCCCAAAGGUGGGCGCUGAGCCCUUAGAAAGCUGGCCCUGGGCUCUGCCACGAAGACAAAACACCCAGCCUGUGUCAGACGACCCAGUCCUAAUCCCUCUGCCAAGCUCCCAGCAUCACAGAUGGCAGGAGAUCCCUUCCAGCUGGAGCUCAAGGGAAAGGUGACUUCUCCUGACCCUCCAGCUCUGAUCCCAACCCCAUAGGGCGGCAGCUGGCUGGACCUGCCGCAAAGCAGUAAGGAACUGGCCUGGAGAGUGUGCUGAGCCCAAUCUAGCUCCAUGCACUUUCUGGGCUAAGAAUGAGCACAAUAAUAACAAGGCCUAACUGAUAUAUAGCGCUUUUAAGCCAUGGAUCUCAAAGCAUUUUACCAAGGAAGUCAGUAUCAGGUGGAGAGAUGGAGGCACAGAGCGGGGAAAUUAUUUGCCCACAGUCACCCAGAAGGCCAGUGGCAGAGCCAGGAAUAAAACCCAGUUUCCUCAGUCCCAGGUGAGUGCUUUAUCCACUAGGCUACACUGUUUUGCACUGCGCAGCAAUUGCAGCUGGGACUGAGCUGUUAGUCCAGCUCCCAAGGCCAGUGCAGGAUCGUUCCCUGCAGUGUAUCACCCUGGGCAUUUUUUUAGUCUAGUUUAGAUUCAAAGACUCAAGUCCUACGGCUCCCACCACAUCCUCUGGGAUGAUUCCACCCACUCCCAGUCUGCACCAGGAGGAAGUUUUUCCUGCUAUCUCAACUAUCUUUUCCUUUCAUCCGAUCGCCUCUAAUUAUAUGCCCUCUGAACACCCUAAAAUCAUUCCUCCCUCACAUCCGUCAGCACCUGGUCAGCCAUCCCCCCUUCAACCACACUGGCUGAAACACGUUUUUGUCUUUUGUAAAUGGCAUCUAGCCAGGCUCAGAAAAACGGGCUACACCCUGGGGCUAUCCAAGGAGGGGCAGCUCAUUACCUGGAUUUCUGCAGCCAGGAAAAGAGAAACAGGUCCCGAGGUCUUUUAACUGAUCACUCCCGCUGCUGCAUUGGAGCAACACAGUGUCAGGGUCUAGGAGAAAAUCCCCUGCCCCAAACAGCUCGUGAAUCUAGCAGAGAGGCAGACAAGGACUGA